GUCCCGGCCGAGAAAGCGCCAGGCCCCGAUGGGUUCAACGACACUUUCUUCAGAGCAUGCUAAUCAACUAUCAAGGCAUAUAUAAUGGCUGUGUUUGAGAAAUUCUAUCGGCUGGCUGAUGGCGAUUUUGGUUCACUAAACCGAGCCCUCAUUGUGCUACUACCAAAGAAAGACGGGGCAAUUCAGAUGGGAGACUUUAGGCCAAUUAGUAUGAUACAUUCAGUGGCUAAGUCGAUCACAAAGGUUUUGUCCAUCAGGCUUGUAGGAGUGCUCGAUCAAUUGAUAUCUCCUGCUCAGAGUGCAUUCCAGAAGAAAAAAGGGAUCUAUGAUAGUUUCCUCUAUGUCUAAAACUGCGUCAGAAAAUUCCAGAAGAAGAAAAAGCAUAUGCUGCUGCUCAAACUGGACAUUGCCAAAGCCUUCGACACCAUAUCCUAGGAGUACCUCAUGGAGCUCAUGCAACAAAUGGGUUUUCCUUCAAGAUGGCGGGACUGGAUCGCGCUCCUCCCCUCGUCCGCAUCAUCCUCUUGCAUGCUCAAUGCAGACCCUGGACCAAGCAUAUUACAUCAGCGUGGGCUCAAGCAAGGCGACCCCUUGUCCCACAUCUUGUUCAUCCUGGCCAUUGACCCGCUGCACAGACUGUUGGAGGUGGCCACGCAAGAUGGCGCACUUGAACCAUUUCCUGAAAGGACAACACGGCUACAUACGACUCUCUAUGCUGAUGACACGAUGAUUUGUGCAAAUCCAGUUCAACAGGAGAUAGACUUCCUCAUGCAGCUCCUCACCGAAUUUGCCGAGGCGUCCGGACUGUGCAUGAACCCGCUGAAGUCUUCUGCUGCCCCAAUCCGAUGCGAAGACAUUGACCUCACCCAGGUUUUGGAGGGUUUCGGCGGCGCCAUCGUCAGCUUCCCCAUUAGAUAUUUAAGUUUACCCGUAUGCAUCAGUAGGACUAGGUUAGUCCACCUGCAGUACCUCAUUGACCUCAUCCGGGCAAGGUUGGCAGGCUGGAAGGGUCGCCUAAUGCCGACCGCGGGUCGACGAGUACUGGUACGAUGCAUGCUCUCCGCACUGCCGGCCUUCGCUCUUGUAGUUCUGCGUGCCCCGAAGAGAUUCCACAAGGAGGUGGACUAA
rnacentral:rRNA from 1 species